rnacentral:misc_RNA from 1 species
GCAAACUUGGUCAUUUAGAGGAAGUAAAAGUCGUAACAAGGUUUCCGUAGGUGAACCUGCGGAAGGAUCAUUAACAGAACAAGAAUUAUGAAUUCUUAUACAUCCUUCGUGUAUUUGUAACCUAUGCUUCCGCGAUCAAUCGGUGCUGCCUUGCAGUCCGUCAAGGUUGCCUUUGCUGUCAACCACUCGCGGGAGUUGUAUUUUCGCUUCCAGCUGCCAGCCUUUCCGUCUGAGCGUCAGUGUUGGAUUUACAGUAAUUGUUAAAACUUUCAACAACGGAUCUCUUGGUUCUCGCAUCGAUGAAGAACGCAGC